AUAAACUAUAGACAUUCAGGUACAAUUUAGCACAUAUCUUAGCUCUUAGGAAGGAUAGCAUCAGACAUUCCUAGACUAUGACACUUACACAUAUGUUUGUAUCCUAUAUCCAUCCAUUAUAAGUGAGUGAAAAUGUUCAGCUACUAAACAACAUAUCAUGUUAGUAAGGCUGAAAAUCAUAAACUGCUCGGGAUGAGUUCAACACUGUUUGCUGUGUGAGGUUCUUACAUGGCGUCGAUGAAAAUGUUGCUGGUACAAGAGUUAUGUUACCAACUUGAUAGUAGUUUCCUGUUGCCUCCUAUUUCUAUUGGAUUGUGGCUAAAGGUUCCCUCACCCUUUGGUUGAUCAUCUACAUAUCUUCCUAUUCUACACCACCUAUUAUCUAUAUUGUAUAAUACUACCAGAACAUUUGUGUUUCACCAAAAAGAAACCACUAUAUAUAUGCAGCUAGUGACAGCAGAGUUAAUGUACUACGUGCAUUUGGCCAGCACAGCACUAUGGAUAAGUAUAUUACAAACUGCAGUUAAAGCAACAGGCAAAGGACAAUAAUCGAAGGUAUUCUUUGAAGCACCACAGAUAUGUAAUAUAUACAUCAUGCAUACUCAAGGAACCACAUUACAUACUAUGACCGAAGGUGGAUCAAGUUGUGUAAGACCAUUUAGUAUAUUGUUCCUUGUACGUCUAAUUAGCUUUUUGAGGGUAUUCUGAAAUUCCAAAAUAGUAGGAGGUACGAGGUAGAAAAUACAAGUUAAAUGCACUAGCGGCCCUAAAACGUCCAAGUUUAUGUCACCAAGGCCCACGAGCUUUCAAAAUAAAUUCUGGGUCCCUAAAGUUUAAAUGGUGCACUGCAAGUCCAUGCCAUCCACGUAUAGUAUAGAAAUUUUUUUAGUGAUGGCUGCCAAUUCUAGUAGAGACGGACGACUUAGGAAACCGCUCAUAACCUUUGUGGGAAGC
rnacentral:lncRNA from 1 species